rnacentral:tRNA from 1 species
AUUACGGUGGCAGAGCCAGGUAUAAAUGCAAAGAGCCUAAGCCUCUAUAACAGAAGUUCAAAUCUUCUCCCUAAUU